GACGAACGCUGGCGGCGUGCCUAAUACAUGCAAGUCGAACGCAGUUGCGAACGGGUGAGUAACGCGUAGGUAACUGCCUCAUCGCGGGGGAUAACUAUUUGAAACGAUAGGUAAUACCGCCAUCUGUUGCAUGGACCUGCGUUAUAUUAGCUAGUUGGUGAGGUAAAGGCCCACCAAGGCGCCGAUACAUAGCCGACCUGAGAGGGUGAUCGGCCAAAACGGGAAUGAGACACGGCCCAGAACCCUAAGGGAGGCAGCAGUAGGGAAUCUUCGGCAAUGGACGGAAGGCUGAACGAGCAACGCCGGGGGAGUGAAGAAGGGUUUCGGAUCGUAAAGCUCUGUUGUUAGAGAAGCGGUAACUAAACAGAAAGGGACGGCUAACUACGUGCCAGCCGCCGCGGUAAUAC
rnacentral:rRNA from 1 species